GUGCUCACUUCGGCAGCACAUAUACUAAAAUUUGAACAAUACAGAAAGAAUUAGCAUGGCCCUUGUUCAAGGAUGACACGCAAAUUUGUGAAGCACAUACACAUACA
rnacentral:snRNA from 1 species